rnacentral:rRNA from 1 species
AUGUUACCCCUGGCAGUGUGGGGGGGGGGGAGUCGGAAGAGGUCAAAGGCAUGGAUGCACUUCACAGUUCAGAAAGAUGAUCCUGAUCAUGCUAAUUGCAACUACUGUGAUGCUGUACUGGGUUGCAAAUCCGCAUCGGCAGGUACUGCUUCUUUAGUCAACCAUUUGAAGAUUUGCAAAAAGAAUCUUGCCCACAUAUGUAGCACUCAGUCCGAGCUUACCUACCAAGUUAGCGAAGAUGGUAAUUCGGUGGUUCCUUGGCAAUACAUUGAGAAAGAAGUUAGAGAAGCAUUUGCUCGCAUGAUAGUGAUAGAUGAGCUUCCACUCAUAUUUGCAGAGAAAGAAGGUUUUAGGUUGUUUGUGGCUAAAGCUUGCCCAAGGUUCACUAUACCAUCUAGGACAACUAUGUAUAGAGAUAUCAUUGCUCUUUAUGAAGCUGAGAAAGCUAUGCUUAGAAAAUAUUUCAUUGGAUCACGUCAAGCUGUUUGCCUCACCACUGAUACAUGGACAUCAAAAAGACAGCAAAGCUACAUGGUCCUUACUGCACAUUUCAUUGAUUCUGGGUGGAAUCUUAGAAAAAAAUUUAUUAACUUUGUCUUGGUAGAUGGACACAAAGGGGAUGGCAUUGGGAAAUCAUUAGAAAAAUUACUUAUUGAGUGGGGCAUUGAGCGAGUGUGCACUAUUACUGUUGAUAAUGCAAGUUCUAAUGACACUUGCUUAGCCUACAUGAAGAGGUCUUUGACUAAUAGGGGCUGUACACAUGCAAAAAAUCAGUAUCUUCACAUGAGGUGUGUGGCACAUAUUGUUAAUCUAGUGGUUCAAGAUGGGCUAAAGAUAAUGUGCCAUCCAAUAAACAGAAUUCGAAGUGCUAUCAAGUUUGUGAGAGCCUCCCCAACUAGAUUGGAUUUAUUUAAAAAGUGUGUGCAGCUUAGCAAGGUAGCGAGUAAAUGUUUGAUUAAUAUUGAUGUGGCUACUAGAUGGAACUCCACAUUUAUAAUGCUAGAGACUGCUGAGAAAUUUGAGAGGGCAUUUAAGCAAUAUGCACUUCAGGAUCCCAACUACAAGACUGAGUUAGAAAAAACUGGUCCAGAACCUAAGCCUGAUACUCCUGAUCAGCGGGGUCCUCCAACUCAAAGUGAUUGGGUGUAUGUUUGUGAGUUCAAAUAA